rnacentral:rRNA from 1 species
GGCGCAAGCCUGAUGCAGCCAUGCCGCGUGUGUGAAGAAGGCCUUCGGGUUGUAAAGCACUUUCAGUCGUGAGGAAGGUGGUGUAGUUAAUAGCUGCAAUAAUUUGACGUUAGCGACAGAAGAAGCACCGGCUAACUCCGUGCCAGCAGCCGCGGUAAUACGGAGGGUGCGAGCGUUAAUCGGAAUUACUGGGCGUAAAGCGCAUGCAGGUGGUUUGUUAAGUCAGAUGUGAAAGCCCGGGGCUCAACCUCGGAAUAGCAUUUGAAACUGGCAGACUAGAGUACUGUAGAGGGGGGUAGAAUUUCAGGUGUAGCGGUGAAAUGCGUAGAGAUCUGAAGGAAUACCGGUGGCGAAGGCGGCCCCCUGGACAGAUACUGACACUCAGAUGCGAAAGCGUGGGGAGCAAACAGGAUUAGAUACCCUGGUAGUCCACGCCGUAAACGAUGUCUACUUGGAGGUUGUGGCCUUGAGCCGUGGCUUUCGGAGCUAACGCGUUAAGUAGACCGCCUGG